AGUAAUUCUGGAGCUAAUACAUGCCAAUAAUGCUUCGGCUUCAUCGCUGAGGCGGGUUUAUUAGAAUCAAAACCAAUCGGUCUUUCGGGGCUGACAGGGUUUGGUGACUCUGGAUAACCAACCUGAUCGCAUGACCUUGCGUCGGCGACAUAUCUUCCAAGUAUCUGACCUAUCAUCUGUCGAUGGUGUGUGAUUUGCUCACCAUGGAGAUCACGGGUAACGGGGAAUCAGUGUUCGAUUCCGGAGAGGGAGCCUUAGAAACGCGAUGCAAGACUCAUCAUGAGGCCUUGCAAUUGGAAUGAGUACAAUUUAAAUCCUUUAACGAGGAUCCAUUGGAGGGCAAGUCUGGUGCCAGCAGCCGCGGUAAUUCCAGCUCCAAUAGCGUAUAUUGAAGUUGUUGCAGUUAAAAAGCUCGUAGUUGGAUCUGAGGUGGGAGUCGUCGGUUCAGCUUGCGCUGCGACUGUACGUACUCUACCUUACACAGUCAUUAGACGCUCUGUGGUGCUCUUUACUGAGUGCUGCGGAGUGCAUGGCACGUUUACUUUGAAAAAAUUAAAGUGCUCAAAGCAGGCUUUAUAGCUUGUAUACUCUUGCAUGGAAUAAUGGAAUAGGACUUCGGUUCUAUUUUGUUGGUUUUCGGAACCGGAGUAAUGAUUAAAAGAGACUGCCGGGGGCAUAUGUAUGGUGGCGUUAGAGGUGAAAUUCUUGGAUCGCCGCCAGACAGUCUACUGCGAAAGCAUUUGCCAAGAAUGUCUUCAUUAAUCAAGAACGAAAGUCAGAGGUUCGAAGACGAUCAGAUACCGUCCUAGUUCUGACCAUAAACGUUGCCGACCAACAAUCGGGGGUGGUUUAACUUACUGGACCCUCCUGGCUGUCCCUGGGAAACCUUAAGUAAGGUUCUGGGGGGAAUAUGGUCGCAAGGCCGAAACUUAAAGGAAUUGACGGAAGGGCACCACCAGGAGUGGAGCCUGCGGCUUAAUUUGACUCAACACGGGGAAACUCACCCGGCCCGGACACUGUAAGGAUGGACAGAUUAAAAGCUCUUUCUUGAUUCAGUGGGUGGUGGUGCAUGGCCGUUCUUAGUUGGUGGAGUGAUUUGUCUGGUUAAUUCCGAUAACGAACGAGACUCUGUCCUGCUAAAUAGCACGUUGGUAUUGGAACUCUUCGGAGUUUUUCUUGCCGACGCUGGCUUCUUAGAGGGAUUCGCAGUAUUCAAACUGCACGAGAUAGAGCAAUAACAGGUCUGUGAUGCCCUUAGAUGUCCGGGGCCGCACGCGCGCUACAAUGACAGCUGCAGAGAGUUUUAAAACCUGGUCCGAAAGGAUUGGGAAAUCUUGGAAAAGCUGUCUCCUCAGGGAUUGGGGUUUGUAAUUAUCCCCCAUGAACGAGGAAUUCCCAGUAGGCGCAAGUCAUCAGCUUGCGCCGAUUACGUCCCUGCCCUUUGUACACACCGCCCGUCGCUACUACCGAUUGAAUGGCUCAGUGAGGCCU
rnacentral:rRNA from 1 species